rnacentral:rRNA from 1 species
UACAUGGGGUGCAAACGUUGCUCGGAAUUAUUGGGCGUAAAGCGCGCGUAGGCGGUUACUUAAGUCGGAUGUGAAAGCCCUCGGCUUAACUGAGGAAGUGCACCCGAAACUGAGUAGCUAGAGUACGAAAGAGGGUCGCGGAAUUCCCGGUGUAGAGGUGAAAUUCGUAGAUAUCGGGAGGAACACCGGUGGCGAAGGCGGCGACCUGGGUCGUAACUGACGCUCAUGCACGACAGCGUGGGGAUCAAACAGG